GGUAGAGCAGAAGACUACAAUCGUGUCUAAAUCUUGUUUUUACUUGAUUGGUUAAUCUGUUUAAGGAAGAAAAAAUAGGAACUUGAUAAAAAGGUGCUCAUUACCUUCAUAAGUAAAGGACGGGGGAUCAUCUCUUACAGGGACACAUACACAGUAAGAUUCGAACGAAAUAACCAUGCAGUUCUUUGGUGUUUUAAUUCUGGCAGGAAUGUUGUGCAUUUCACUUACUUUUGCAGACAGGAUCUUCCGAAUCGAGUCACAUAAGAAGGGUAAUGAAAACGUGCUAAUUAUUAAAGAAAGAGACUGGGAAGAGGGUCACGGAAAUUGACGUAUUUGAAGAGGAUGAAUAUCAACUUGGAAAGCCAGAAGGCGAAGAUUAUUGCCUCGUCUCACGAUAUCUGAUUAAGGCAGCUGAUUCCCCGUAUUGUUUCAAACGUAUAAAUGGUCCAAUAGACAUGCAAGAAGAAUUACAAAUCGAUCUUACCGAAUGUGGAGACCGUGAAAUCGUCUUCCUAGAGCCAACAGAAUGUCGUAAGGCUGACACGGACAUGGAUAGAGAACCUAGAAACGGUCUUAGAGAGAAAAGGGGGGUAAAUUGCUACACCAGAGAAGAAACCAUUGUAUAUUGUAAAAGGUAUGAAAACGUGUGCACACGACGGGGAGGGUUGUGGAAUAAGUGUAAAGCAUACAGGACCCAAUGUGCGGAACAGGAUACGCGCGUUGUUACAACACGUUAUUGCUCAUAAGGAAAAUGGUAUCGUAGUGUAAACAUCAGCAACCAAAGAUAAUAUAUUUACGAAAGACUUUAACUGUUAAGAAUGUAUGUAUUUGUAUGACUUACUUCUAUGACGUAUGUGUCAAUCCAACAGAGGUUAACAUUUCUAUUCUGUGUUUUUUGUUUUCAUUUAAACCAUUUAUUACUAUUUGAAAAUUUAACCAGGUUAUAGUUUUUAACUUUAUAAAAAAGUAAAGGAGAACGUCAAACGUAUUCGUCUUAACCACGACGAAAUCGUAUUGGGAUGAUUAACACUUCAAAUUACUUGAUUAACAUUUGACAAAUAGUUUUUCUAUUAGACUUAAUGAAAUUAAAGUUUAUCAUCAGACUUAUUUUCACAGACUUAUUUUCAGUCCUUUCAAAGGAGGAUAACUGAUGCAUUUGUCUAUUUAAUCUCAUUUUUGUUUAGGUUUUCGUUUUCGAUAUUACUCACAUAACUUUAUGUCACAAAACAAAACUCAAGCAACGACAUAAUACAUUUGUUAUACCCUUUCACUUACAACAAAAAGGUUGAACUUUCUUUGCAAAUAUGUCGCUUUAUAAGUAUAUCAAGUAUAUCUACAUGUUAAAUUUAUUUAAAAACAGUCCUUUUUACAAUUUUUGAAUUUUGCAUAAUGACUUAAAUGCGAAACAGCAACAUGAAAAGCCUGAUAAGAAUGCCUAAAACAAUCCAGACCGGUAACCCAUCAUUUUGUUAAAAAUGUUUAAUUUUAUCAUAUUCUAAUAUUAUGCAAAUAAAUUCUACCAAUAAGUUUUAUUUUGCCUAUAUGUUUUUGUUAAAACUGCAGAUAACGUCUUUAAACAAGGUACUUGAUACCUAACAUGAUCAAAUUGUCUCGUUUGUAUUGUUACUGUAAUGAAUAUCUGAUGUAUUUAUUAACAUGCUACAAUUCUGAUUUGUUAUAACUCAUGUCUGAAUAAAUAAACGAUUAACCAAG